rnacentral:rRNA from 1 species
GAUGAACGCUGGCGGCGUGCUUAACACAUGCAAGUCGAACGAAACACCUUAUUUGAUUUUCUUCGGAACUGAAGAUUUGGUGGUUGAGUGGCGGACGGGUGAGUAACGCGUGGGUAACCUACCCUGUACAGGGGGAUAACAGUCAGAAAUGACUGCUAAUACCGCAUAAGACCACAGCACCGCAUGGUGCAGGGGUAAAAACUCCGGUGGUACAGGAUGGACCCGCGUCUGAUUAGCUGGUUGGUGAGGUAACGGCUCACCAAGGCGACGAUCAGUAGCCGGCUUGAGAGAGUGAACGGCCACAUUGGGACUGAGACACGGCCCAAACUCCUACGGGAGGCAGCAGUGGGGAAUAUUGCACAAUGGGGGAAACCCUGAUGCAGCGACGCCGCGUGAGUGAAGAAGUAUUUCGGUAUGUAAAGCUCUAUCAGCAGGGAAGAAAAUGACGGUACCUGACUAAGAAGCCCCGGCUAACUACGUGCCAGCAGCCGCGGUAAUACGUAGGGGGCAAGCGUUAUCCGGAAUUACUGGGUGUAAAGGGUGCGUAGGUGGUAUGGCAAGUCAGAAGUGAAAACCCAGGGCUUAACUCUGGGACUGCUUUUGAAACUGUCAGACUGGAGUGCAGGAGAGGUAAGCGGAAUUCCUAGUGUAGCGGUGAAAUGCGUAGAUAUUAGGAGGAACAUCAGUGGCGAAGGCGGCUUACUGGACUGAAACUGACACUGAGGCACGAAAGCGUGGGGAGCAAACAGGAUUAGAUACCCUGGUAGCCCACGCCGUAAACG